GCUGCCGCCGCUGCCACCGCUGCCCGGGCGACCGGGGGCCGCGCGGGGGCUCUGGGGGGAGGAGCAGUGGGUCUCGCCGCCCGGCCCCGCCCCGUGCCCCCUGCCCCGCGCGCCCCCUCCCGGCUAGGCUCGGGGGCUCCAGGGGCUCCGCUCGCCUCAGCUGGGUAUUUUCCAGGCUGCGGAGGUAAAGCUGACGGAGCUCGGAGCCCCGCCCCGCCCCGCCCCACAGGGUCCUAGUGCCCGCCCCCUAUGUCCCGGGAAGAGACCCGGCCCGGGAGGGGCCAGUGCUCAGGCAAGGAUUGGGGACCGGAUAGGAGUGGCCAAGAUGGAGGGGGCUCCGAGAGGAAGUGCCGCCGGGUGCUAGAAGUGGGAUUCUGGAAGUUAAUUGUGAACCCCUUCUCUCCACUCCCUCCCAUACUCGCAGGUGCACACCUCUGCAACAACCUACAGUAUUUACAUACAGGCCGUUGUCCCCCAGAACAACCCAGAGACAUCCCACACACACACACAACACCCCAGAGAUCCAAAGAUGGGCACGCACUCCCACGACAAUCAAGAGACUAACUCGGAGAGAUGACAGCCCUGCAUCCCCCACCAACCUAGAGACACAUCAAGCCUGCACAUAACCUACCCAAUUCCCAGUUGGGUGUGCAAGCACAGCCGGAAAUUAAUUCAACCCACAAGGUUCAAGGUUCACAAGGUGGCCAGACUUGGGCAAAACUGCCACUCCAGCCUCACCCCCACAUGGGAGCUUUAAUUAGUACUCCCUACAACCCCAGACUCUUCCGUCUUUGUCCACCAGCACCCCUCCUCAAUGCACACAUGCCUCUAAUGGGUUAGAUUACCUGUGAGUACCUGACCCCAGAGCUCUGGGGCUCCCUUCCCUCCCCAGGCAGGGGUAGCCAGAGCUCCAAAUUGCUGGCCAUUCCUCCCAGCCUAGGAGGAUGCUCCUGCCACUUGAGUCCUAGUGCCUCCCUCUACCCCCUCUGCCUCCCUCUACUCCAUGUGAACUGAGGCCAACAGCUCAACUUCUCUGAGGCCAGGCCAGUAUGAGUGUGGCAGCCUGUCCCGAAGGUAAGCAUUCACUUACUCCAGUGACUGGCCCUGGUCCACUGCCCUGUGGUAAACUCCUCUGGAUGGGCAGCUAAUGGGGCCCACCACAUGCCUUCCCCUUGCCUAGUGUCGGAGUAAGUCCUGACCACUGCCCAGGCCUCAGAAAGGACCCCAGGAGUCCUUUCUCUGCCCUGGCUGUCCCAUCCUCUCUGCACCUUAGAUUCCUAUCUAUAGAAGUUGAGAAUCAGAAUGUAUAAUGAAUGCUCAGGCACCGCCUGGGCUCACCAUCCUAGAGCCAUGGGAUGAAAAGCUUUUCUUGAAGGUGCUAAGAGAAAAACAAGGAAUGGCAGAGUCAUCACGGUGGAUUCACAAAUAGAGUUUUUGGCUGGUGUCGGGUUUGAACCCACCACUUCCAGUAUAUGGGGCCAGUGCCCUACUCCUUUGAGCCACAGUCCCCUCCCCCAGGAAUUUAGGUAUCUCUGGCUCUGGUGCUCAUGACAGCCUCUCAAACAUGACCAAGCAGAUUCAUAUCCUGUAAAACAUGUCUGAGCAGCAGAAAGAAGGGCCCCAUCCGCUUGAGAGCAGAAGACUGAGCCCAGGAAGGCUGAGAGGGGCUAUGGAGGAACAGUCUGGAGACAACCCUGGCUCUACCCUUUCCUUGCUAUGUAACCACAAAUAGAUGGCAUGUCCUCUCUGAGCCUCAGUUUCCUCAUCUGGAAUAAUAAUACCUAUUAUCUGAGAAUUACUGCAAUGAAAAGAGGUGUGUAUGUUCCAGUUUUGCCCCUAGAUCAGUAACCGAAAAUAUAACUGGUGGGAGUAGUUAGGGCAGGGAAGAAAUACACUGUCCAAAAAUGCAUUGUUCCAAGAAAAAAUGUUAAGAUAACACCUUGACAUGAUGGAUGGUGGUGAAAGUCUCAUAAAGACUAAAGAGUGCUAACAGCUGGCAAGGUGUAACCCCUACUCUGUGCACUGCAGUCCCCUGCCAGGAAGUGGAUUGAG